rnacentral:rRNA from 1 species
GCGCACGCUGGCGGCAGGCCUAACACAUGCAAGUCGCACGAACUCUUCGGAGUUAGUGGCGGACGGGUGAGUAACACGUGGGAACGUGCCUUUAGGUUCGGAAUAACUCAGGGAAACUUGUGCUAAUACCGAAUGUGCCCUUCGGGGGAAAGAUUUAUCGCCUUUAGAGCGGCCCGCGUCUGAUUAGCUAGUUGGUGAGGUAAAGGCUCACCAAGGCGACGAUCAGUAGCUGGUCUGAGAGGAUGAUCAGCCACAUUGGGACUGAGACACGGCCCAAACUCCUACGGGAGGCAGCAGUGGGGAAUCUUGCGCAAUGGGCGAAAGCCUGACGCAGCCAUGCCGCGUGAAUGAUGAAGGUCUUAGGAUUGUAAAAUUCUUUCACCGGGGACGAUAAUGACGGUACCCGGAGAAGAAGCCCCGGCUAACUUCGUG